ACGGGAGGCAGCAGUGGGGAAUAUUGGGCAAUGGGGGCAACCCUGACCCAGCAAUGCCGCGUGAAGGAAGAAGGCUUUCGGGUUGUAAACUUCUUUUAAGUGGGACGACAAUGACGGUACCACGUAAAUAAGCUCCGGCUAACUACGUGCCAGCAGCCGCGGUAAUACGUAGGGAGCAAGCGUUAUCCGGAUUUACUGGGUGUAAAGGGCGUGUAGGCGGGACAUCAAGUCAGAUGUGAAAGCACGAGGCUCAACUUGGUGUCUGCAUUUGAAACUGUCGCUCUUGAGUGUUGGAGAGGCUAACGGAACUCCUAGUGUAGCGGUGAAAUGCGUAGAUAUUCGGAAGAACACCAGUGGCGAAGGCGGUUAGCUGGACAACAACUGACGCUGAGGCGCGAAAGCGUGGGUAGCAAACAGGAUUAGAUACCCUGGUA
rnacentral:rRNA from 1 species